GAUGAACGCUAGCUAUAGGCUUAACACAUGCAAGUCGAGGGGAAACGGCAUUAUGUGCUUGCACAUUUUGGACGUCGACCGGCGCACGGGUGAGUAUCGCGUAUCCAACCUGCCCUUUACUUGGGGAUACCCCGUUGAAAGACGGCCUAAUACCCGAUGUAAUUCAUUGAUGGCAUCAGAUAUGAAUAAAAGAUUUAUCGGUAAAGGAUGGGGAUGCGUCUGAUUAGCUUGUUGGUGAGGUAAUGGCUCACCAAGGCAACGAUCAGUAGGGGUUCUGAGAGGAAGGUCCCCCACAUUGGAACUGAGACACGGUCCAAACUCCUACGGGAGGCAGCAGUGAGGAAUAUUGGUCAAUGGGCGCAAGCCUGAACCAGCCAAGUAGCGUGCAGGAAGACGGCCCUAUGGGUUGUAAACUGCUUUUAUACGAGAAUAAUUUGAUGCACGUGUGCGUUAUUGCAUGUAUCGUAUGAAUAAGGACCGGCUAAUUCCGUGCCAGCAGCCGCGGUAAUACGGAAGGUCCAGGCGUUAUCCGGAUUUAUUGGGUUUAAAGGGAGUGUAGGCGGUUUGUUAAGCGUGUUGUGAAAUUUAGAUGCUCAACAUUUAACUUGCAGCGCGAACUGUCAGACUUGAGUACACGCAACGUAUGCGGAAUUCAUGGUGUAGCGGUGGAAUGCUUAGAUAUCAUGAAGAACUCCGAUUGCGAAGGCAGCAUACGGGAGUGUAACUGACGCUUAAGCUCGAAGGUGCGGGUAUCGAACAGG
rnacentral:rRNA from 1 species